rnacentral:rRNA from 1 species
CAGUAGCCGCGGUAAUACGUAGGGUGCGAGCGUUAAUCGGAAUUACUGGGCGUAAAGCGUGCGCAGGCGGUUAUGUAAGACAGGUGUGAAAUCCCCGGGCUUAACCUGGGAACUGCGCUUGUGACUGCACAGCUAGAGUAUGGCAGAGGGGGGUGGAAUUCCACGUGUAGCAGUGAAAUGCGUAGAGAUGUGGAGGAACACCGAUGGCGAAGGCAGCCCCCUGGGCCAAUACUGACGCUCAUGCACGAAAGCGUGGGGAGCAAACAGGAUUAGAUACCCCCGUAGUCCCUGUCUCUUAUAA